rnacentral:misc_RNA from 1 species
UUUUCUUCUGUAGAAUCAACUGAACCCAAACCUGCUUUUUAUAAGUGUGUAGCCCUUUAGUGUUUCAGUCAUAUAUCUAUGAAGCGAGACUGAAAUAGAUAGAUAUAGAAGGAGAUUCUUUCAGUCCAGUCAUGGAUAGAACAAGAAGAGGGUAGAAACAUCUGCCGACUCAUCCAUCCAAACACUUCUGGUAAAAAGAAAAUAGAUUUUAUACCACAGUGGCUGUGUGAAUGAUGCGGGAGAUGUUUUCAUCUCUCUUUAUCUGUGUUUGGACUGAAGGGAGCUCCUUCUUUAUCUACAUGUUU